UUAUGACGAGACUGAAAUAUAAAACUAGAAGUGGUCUCUGUUCAUUGAUGGUGUUCGACGCUGGAGCGUGCUGUAGCUGGCACCUGUGUAUCAUUGUGUGUAUUUUCUGAAUGAUCUGAAUUCUCAGCUCCACACACAAACACACAACGUCUUACUGAUCAGACCGAUCAACAUUAUCCCUGCACCUACGCUUUUGCAGAACUCAAGUGAAACAUUAUCAGUAAUCUAAACAUGUAUUUCCUUCUUUGUUUGAAGAAAUGUAAACUAGUACCUGCAGAAACCUUUUUUUCCUAUAAGCUGGGAGCCAGGGAGCAAAGAGAGGAUGUUGGCACCACACAAUGGUCGUAAAAAUCCAAAGUAUCCCAAACAAACUUCAUCACUCCCCUGCCUGGCCUAUCCUCCCCUCUGAUCUCGCUUCUCUUUCAUCCCCCCUCUGGUAAGGCCCCCUCUUCCUCUCUCUCCGUUGUCCCCAUUCUCACUCCUUUUCGUCUCCAGGCAACAAGGCAAUGGAGGUCUGAGCAGAGAGAGAGAGAGCGGGAGACAGAAACCGGUAGACGGAGAGAUAGUGAGCCGCUCUUGAAACUUUGGAGACAGCUAUGCCAGGAAUGCAGGUGCCUGCUGUGAGGACAACAAAGUGAGGAGGACCUCCGUAGGAGCGCAGCGUGGGCAAGCGGCACGUCGGUGUGAGGGAACCCAGCCCACAUUUCAACACUGCUCGCCUGCUUCUCAUGCAAAGCAGUUGUUCAAAGUUGAGUUUCAAAGUGUUUCUGUCUCCUAGCUGUCUACAUGUCUCUUCAUCUCUCUCUCUCUCUCUCUCUCUCUCUCUCUCUCUCUCUUUCACUCUCUCCUACUCUGUGUUUUAUUCAGCAGAAACAGAGAAGCCACAUCACAGGGAGACCAGAAGGGUUUGAGAGGGAGGACAGAGAGAAGAGAAGAGAAGAGAGGAGUUUAAAACAAAGUGUAGGAGAGAGCUGGAGAGAGAGAGAGUGUGUGUGAUGUGGCUGAGUAAAAAGGACUCAGAUGACAGAGAAUACUUUAAACACAGAUUUAAGACCAUUGUUUAGUGGUGGUGUGUGUGGAUGUGUGUGUUCACAUCGUUCUGUGUGUCCUUGCUAGUGCAAGAAAGUGAGAUAGUGUAAGAAAGGUGUAUAGACCUUGUUUGUCAUAUAUGUCAACACAUGGCUGUAUACAGAUACGUGCACGAAAGCACCUUUGUUUCCGCGCGUCCCUGAUUGUGUUUGUGUGUGCAUGUGUGUGUGCGCAGCUGUCCAUCUGCCUGGCGGAGUCCUGGGGCCCUGCAGCCCUCACAGCAAAUGACUGAUGUGAUUUAGUGGUGCAGGUCAAAGGUCAAGAGCCCCUAGUCUCCAUCUGCGUCUGAAGAAAAGGCCAUCAGGAAGGGAUUAGGCUGGAGUCAAUGGUCCUUGUGACAUGUCUGCCACCAGUUCACUUCACUACACUCACACUCACACACACACACACACACACAUACACACAAAAAAAAAUACACAAA